CCUACGGGGGGCAGCAGUGGGGAAUAUUGGACAAUGGGGGGAACCCUGAUCCAGCCAUGCCGCGUGUGUGAAGAAGGCCCUCGGGUUGUAAAGCACUUUCAGUGAGGAAGAACGCCUGGUGGUGAAUACCCAUCAGGAAAGACAUCACUCACAGAAGAAGCACCGGCUAACUCCGUGCCAGCAGCCGCGGUAAUACGGAGGGUGCGAGCGUUAAUCGGAAUUACUGGGCGUAAAGCGCGCGUAGGUGGCUUGAUAAGCCGGUUGUGAAAGCCCCGGGCUCAACCUGGGAACGGCAUCCGGAACUGUCAAGCUAGAGUGCAGGAGAGGAAGGUGGAAUUCCCGGUGUAGCGGUGAAAUGCGUAGAGAUCGGGAGGAAUACCAGUGGCGAAGGCGGCCUUCUGGACUGACACUGACACUGAGGUGCGAAAGCGUGGGUAGCAAACAGGAUUAGAUACCCUGGUAGUC
rnacentral:rRNA from 1 species